rnacentral:rRNA from 1 species
UACAGAGGGGGCAAGCGUUGUUCGGAAUUACUGGGCGUAAAGCGCGCGCAGGCGGCGGUGUUGGCCCGGCGUGAAAGCCCCCGGCUCAACCGGGGAGAGUCGUCGGGGACCGCACCGCUUGAGGGCGGUAGGGGCUGGUGGAAUGCCUGGUGUAGUGGUGAAAUGCGUAGAUAUGCGGAGGAACACCGAUGGCGAAGGCAAUCCCCUGGACCUGUACUGACGCUCAUGCACGAAAGCGUGGGGAGCAAACAGG